AAGGGAAUUAACAACACAUCCAAUUGGACCUUCGAUAUUCCCGGGGUCAUUCGAUCAUACAACGGAAUUAACAACAAAUCUGAUUGGACAUUCAGAAUUUCCCGGGUCAUCAAAUCCGAAUGCUUGUUUUCAAAAUAUAGCUCCAUCAUUGGCGAC